rnacentral:sRNA from 2 species
ACUACCUCCUUAUCUAGGGUCGGUCACACGGCCUCUCUGAGAUCUGAGAGCAUCAGGCCAAUAGAGGCUUGGGAAAUUGCAGGCAGGAGGGGUUCAUAGCUGGAUCCGAGAUAAGGUUUCCUCGCCACACUCCCCUAUUUAAUUAAACUCUAAGAACUUGGACGUAGCCUUCAGAGGCAAAAUCAAUAUAGAGCUCUAGGUUGCUCAUCGGGCAACGGUUAUAUCGCCGUGAUAGCAAUAUUUUUGAGACGAUUAGCUAUAAAAACACGAUUAAUUUAAAGUUUUUUAAAGUUUUACGCUAGUCAAAUAAAGUUGCCCCCCCCUUGUUCAUUCACGAGUUGUAGAUUGCUAAUUAUCCUUUUGCCACACCCGAGUGAUCAAGCCACAUAUUUGCAAAUGAGCCACUGGGGGGAGUCUGUUAUGCUUAUUUUCUAUAGCUGUAAAGACGCAGGGUUACUUAUGAGUUAUUGACGAUUAUGUAGCAUUAAGUGAGAGUAGUAUCGUUAAUCUUGAUUCAGUCUACCGUACCCAAACCCCAUUUUACCACGUUGUGGAUCCCCCGCAUUCUAUUUGCUCCCGCCGCAACAUGCCUCGGCGGAUGGCAAACCUCUUUGUUUGGGCAAACCCUCGGAUGCCAUCCAGGCUGGCUCUCGCCUCGCAGAGCGCGAAGGAGGCCGCUGUGGAACCAUGCAGCUGUCUCCAGCCGGUCUUCUGGCCUCCCCGUUCCUUUACCUCUCUGCGUUUAGCAACAUACAAAUUACAUACAAAAGAUACCCAAAAGAUCAAACCAAAAGCCUUUUUUCAACUCAUCGCUGGCUUCAUCGAGAACUUCACGGCCGUGGCUGGUCUUUGACUAUGUCCGGCGAAUACCCCGUCACAAACAACGCUGCUGGCUCAACUGAAGAGAAAAAUUUUCAAAAAAUCAUUGUCCCGACUGUCCCAGAUAAGCUUGAAGAUACUACAGAAAGCCGCUGGGAGCGCAGUUGGCCGGUGAUCGCAGGUGGUGCGGGUCUAUUUUCUGACGGGUACCUCAACAAUAUUAUCGGCUCAGUCAACACCGUUCUCCGCAUCCUCUACCCAGUUGCCUACACCAAAUCUGCCGCCGUCAAAAAUGUCCCCUCCAUCGCCUUCGCCGGCACCGUCGUCGGUCAGCUCCUGUUCGGCGUUAUCAGUGACCACUACUCCCGCAAAUGGUCCUUGAUGGCGUCUACUCUCGUCCUCAUCAUCUUCGCAGCUCUGUCUGCAGGAUCCUACGGCGCUAACGGUAGUGUACCUGGCCUCUUCACUGCGUUAACUAUCUAUCGCUUCUUCCUUGGCGUGGGGAUUGGUGGCGAAUAUCCCGCUGGCAGCGUUGCAGCGGCUGAGAGCGCGGGGGAACUGAAGAGGGGCCAUCGGAACAGAUGGUUUAUUAUGUUCACGAAUGUUCAGAUCAAUCUUGGGUUCGUUCUUGCGGCAUUUGUGCCUAUGGUUGUGGUAUUGGUUUUUACUGAGAACCACUUAAGGACGGCGUGGAGGGUUAUGUUGGGUCUUGGGGUCCUUCCGCCCCUGAGUUUGCUCUAUUUACGGAUGAAGCUUCGGGAGCCCGAGAAUUUUAAUCGAGAGAGGAUGCAUAAAUAUCCUGUCAAACUGAUUGCUAGGUUCUAUUGGUGGCGACUGUUUAUUGUCUCCUUAGCAUGGUUCGCAUACGACUUUUCCUCCUACGCCUUCGGUAUCUACUCGAGCGUCUGGCUUAGGAUCGUCCUCUCAGAUUCCGCACCCCUCUGGAAAUCCUUUGGAUGGAACACCGUCAUCAAUUUUUUCAACCUUCCCGGCGCAUGCUUGGGUGCCUUCAUCUCCGAUUGGAUUGGCCCUCGCUACGCACUUUCCAUCGGCGUCUUUUUACAGGGUAUCGUCGGCUUCAUCAUGGCAGGAUGCUACGAGUUCCUCGCAACGGCGAAAAAUGUCGGUGCGUUUGUCGUUCUCUAUGGUAUCUUCAUCUCCCUCGGCGAGAUUGGACCAGGCAAUAACAUCGGCCUCAUCGCGGCCAUGACCAGUGCCACGGCUGUGCGUGGACAAUACUAUGGCAUCGCGGCCGCGAUAGGCAAAAUCGGUGCCUUCGUCGGAACAUAUGCGUUCCCGAUUAUUCAGGCUCGUGCGCCGAAUCCUGUGCGUGCGGGCCAGGACCCGUUCUUUGUCGCGAGCACAUUAUGUAUGAUGUCUGCUGUGGUUGUGCGAUUUUUGAUCCCUCACAUUGGGCAGGACACAAUUGCACUAGAAGACGCACGCUUUCGCCGGUACCUGGAGGAGAAUGGAUAUGAUACGAGCAAGAUGGGGGUGUCCAUGAAACAAAAACUGCAGCAGCUGGAACAGAGUCAGCUGCAGGAGCCGGCGGCCUAAGCUGAGAGCUAGCGCCCAUGCCUUGCAUUAUGGUUUUGUUUCAGACUCGGCUCGCUUUUAUCUCCAGAGACUUGGACACUGUCAUACCGUGCAGUCGGGCAUAUUCCUGUUUUACCCGGCUAGCCACCUUGUAUGGAUUCUAUGGUCGCUGAUAUUCUGUUCCAGAUCAUACGGCCAGAAGCAGUAAUGGUUUAAGUCGCCAGCAUGAUAUUUUGGCAACGCACACUCACACACACAUAUAUAUAUAUGUAUAUAUCCACACGUACUUUGUAUGUACUGUACAACAAAUAAAUCAUGCAUUCGUUCAUGGAUGACGCUGGAUAGUUGCGCUUAGUUCCCAAAAGUAUAUAUGUUGGCAAACCAGUCCAGUUUGCUAAUUGAAUUGAUCAUGAACUAUCUCAAUGUGAAAUCUGCUUCGCCGUUCUAUUCGUGGAUGAUGUAACGGGACUAGAUAUAGGAUAACAGAAAGCAAAAGAAGGAGAAAUGAGAAGAUUAUAUGUAUAAUUGAUCAAGCCAAAAAUUGGCUACAAAAGGCGGCGUUAGCGGAACCUUGUGGAGAUGACAAAUAUGUUAGGCCACCGGGACAAAAGAGCUCGAUCACCACCAGCGCCAUGCUGGUAGUAGAGGGGACGAACCAAUCCAAACCCUCAACAAAAUAUGGGUAGAACUGAUGAGAAAUUCUUGGCAUGAUCGAUAAUGGUGGUACAGUCAAAUGCAGAAAAUAUGCGGAGGAGGGAGAAGAACGAAUUGAAAUACUGAUAACGAGGAAUAAAUAUGUUGAGUGAUUGGAUGGAUAAGCGCGACCGGCCAGCCGAAAUUCAUUUGAUUUAAUCUCAAUAGAUCGGUCAAAAUGGAUAAAUGGGAUCAUACAUGGCAGUCAAGAAAGUACCUACAAACCGGUAAAUAAAGUGCCGAAGCAGAAGAAGAGUAAAGCAUUGUCUUGGAACGUAAAGACACGAGAAUGGAGAGUAUAGAAUGAAAAUGAAAAUGAAAAUGAAACAAAUGUUAGAAACUAACAAAUAACAAUGACCAAAAACCAAGAAGGGAAAAGCGACUGAAAAUUAAAAGCGGCAGAAGUUGAACACACUGGUCGAAACUCCUACAACAAACGGAAUUGAUAUAACCACGAGGACCCGGGGUCAACUCGAUUUGCAAACUGGAUGGUGAACCCAUCACACAUGCUCCAAAAAUGACAGCUGAGACAUCACUCACUAUAUCAUGCGGUCUUUCUCCAGGCUGUCCGUACACCAAUCAAGGAGCUGACGGUCCCGGCAAGGCCGAUAAUGCCAUCAUCCAAGUUUAUAUAGCCAAGCGAUGUGCUGGGGAUGGUGAGAUCACAGAAGUCCGAAAUGAGCUGGGUAAGGACGGCCGUGCGUUCUUUUUCAAUCAUCUUCCCUUCAACCACACUCUCGCCGUCCUUCUUGUUCACAGCCUUUUCCCUCUCCUUCAACAUCCACAUCGAAUACAGCCCGGAAACGGCACUGCACACCAAGCCAGCCAUCCACGCCUUCAGCGCGCGAGCCUGUAGCUUCUUCGCAUUCGCCAUCUUGCGCACCCCGGCAGAAUCUAGGUACAAUACCAUGUCGAGGGAGAGGUAGAUGGCGUAGCCGAGCUGGCGGCCGAUUCCGAGGUAUUUGAGCACGGGAUCGGUAGUGGCCGUCGGUGAGCGCGAGUCGAGGAGGACGGCAGCGGCUUUGAAGUGCUCUACAUUCUUGCCGAAACGGAGCAGUUUGCGGGUUAGGGCGAAUUGCUUCUUGACGGCUUCGAAAGGGGCGAUGGAGGCUUGCGGGUAGUUGGUGCGGUAGAGGUACCAAGCGUAGAAACGCGAGAAGUAUUGGAGGGUGCGGAGGAUUUUAUCGCGGCCGACUGUAGUAGCAACGAAUCUGAGAUAAUGGGCCACCGUCGGGUGGUGAGCCAGGUCUGUGGCAGCCAUAUUGGCUGAGAGGGGAUAAGAAGGAACGCGAGGGGCACCGGGAGGUAUAAUGCGGCGAUCAGGGUUGACAGACUAGCCUCCGCAGAAACCGAAUAAUGCACAGAGGAGGUAAAUAAAGAAGACGAAGACGAAGAAGAAGAACCUGGUCGAUAUGAUAUUUCUGUUGUUCGUCGUCUCGUGCUGUUUUCCCAUCGAUGUUCGCGGCGGAGAUGGAGCGAGCACACGUGACGAUAACCUCGGCUAUUCCGGCUGCCUAGGCACUUCACAUGUGUGCGGUGCGUUGGAUAUGACGUCACAAGCCUAGAUCCGAAAUUGUUUAUCUUAAAUGGAUUGCUUCCAAAGGCACUACUGGGGAUAUAUAUACGGUAUGAGCAGAUGAAAAACGGAUAGGGAAGGGAUCAAACUGUGUAUGCUUGUAUAUACAACGAUAGUCGAUUUGUUUAUUCUAUGUCUCGGACAGCUCUAUGUUCAACAAAGGCAAUGUCAGUGGGAGAAAUGAGAAAAGAAAAGAAAGUUUAAAGUUAAGGAUAUAGCAAAAUAUAUAACGGAAACGUUGAAUGGUAAACCAAAACAAAAAUGCCGUUCAGUCUUUAUCACAUAUUUGAUCACAAAAAAAUGAUGGCAAGGGUCCACCGGCUAUCCACCGGCUACAAGGAGAGGAAGUAACGUAAGAAAAUUUAUAUGCGGUGAAGAUACGAGUAAAUGAGCAAAUGGGGAAAAGUCGUACUAGUGACAAAGGGCAUUCGUGUAGAUCAGUUGCGUUCCGCAUGAAAAUGGAAACGAUAAAUGAAGCAGAAAGGGGUGAUGUAGAGAGAUAUAUAUGGAUAUAUGCAGAAACUCCUGAGAAUCAAACACUGUAACACACUGUGUCAUUAAGGUCGUGAGUUCUGUACCGACGAUUUAAAAUGUUAAGAGAGAGUGUAAGGUUAAACUGGGGGAUGGACCUGGGGAUGCAUAUAGACACGUAUGGAUAGAUAUCAAGCAUGCAAAUCAAUUGGUCUAAAUAAUCUGUAAAGAGGUGAAUGAUAAGAUAUAGUGUUUUCGUUAAAAAAAUAAAAAUAAAAAUAAAAAUAAAAAAGCCGCCCCGGAUAUUAAAACCACUGGGUGUGUUGUUGAAGAGGGAUAUCAUCUUGGUUUGCAGAAGCGGUGAUCGAAUAGGUGGCCGGAUCCCACAUGAAAGUGUUAGGUUCCGUGGACACAAACGCUCCUUCUUGUGAGACCAGCAGGCUAUCGUCGCCAGCCGUUGUACUGAAGGUCUGACUAUCUGCAGAAGAGUAGUCUUGAGGGACCUGGUAGGAGUUUAACCUCACCCCUGGCGAUGUCGCGAUUAUGUCAAAGGGUUGUGGUGGCUGGCUAAGCGCAGCACCAGCCUUGAGGAAGGCAUCGAUGUCCACUGACUGGAGGUCGCUCGGCGACAGCAUUUGUGACUGAGAGAAAUCUACACAAGACGAUGGGCUGAGACGGUACAUGCCAUUCCCUGAUCCAUCGCUAGCGCUGAGGACGUCAAGUUUGUCAGGGUUGGACAUCCCUAUUCCAGUGGCAAGGCUGAUAUCUUCGACCUCUGAGAGUUCUCCCGACGAAGAAUGGGUGAGGUUGGAGUGACUGAAAUUGCUGUUGUCAAAGCUUGCGUACGAGGGUGGCUGGCUGAAUGUAGUGUGGAGGUCGCUGGGGUUGAAGGGCAAACCAAAUGUGGACCAGUCCACUGGGGGAACAUUGAAAUUGGGCGUCUCUGGAAAUGCUUCCGUCUCCGGAGAAUAGAAUUGGUCAAGACUCUGGUCUUGACGAUCAAACAAACCUGGAGUUGAAUUCGUUGGGUCCAACGGAGCAACGGAAAUAUCGAGAUGGGGAAUUCCGUUAUUCAUAUCCUCAAUUCCAAGCAAGGGAGCAUUGGCGGGUGAUCCAUGUUCCGACCUUACCAGACGGACUGGGAAAGCUACCUUUGUAAUCGAAUCCACAGCCAGGGUCCCGUCUUGCUCGAUACCAGUUUCGGGUAAGGGAAGAUGGUCCGCCGAAUGGCGCGCGAUGUCUGAUGAAGCAUGAACAGUAUGGGACCUAGGAAUUGAGUAAGGGACCCCUCGUUUACAUGUGUCGUUGACUCUAUUCUUAGUGUGGC